AAGUGUGCAGGAUUAAUUACGAUAGCAGUAAGGCGUAAAGCUGAUGAUGGGUCGGAGUUGAAGAUUCGGAUGAUGUAUCGGGAGCUCGCCGAGAGCUCAUCUAAAGAUCGUCGAGAGUUCGUCAGAAGAUCGUCGAGAGUUCAUAUGAAGAUCUCCAAGAUUUCGUUGGGAGUUCGCCGAAAGCAUGGUGGAAGACUCGCUGAGAAGUUCGCUGGAGGAUCGCCGAGAGAAAAAUCGACAUAAUGGACUAAUUGCUUGCCUUAAUCGUAGUUAGAACUUUAAUUGAGUUAGGAUUGGGAGGUGAUCCUACUAACUCAGUUAGGGGCCAAAUGGGCCCUUAACAGGGCUGAAUUGGGCUGGAUUGGACAGCCCAUUCAACACCUAACACCACAGCCAGCGAUGGCAUCGCCUGGUGACCCAGUCUCCCAAGUGGUCUGGGCGGUGGUAUCGUCGACAGUUAAUGUUAUCAGGCGAUGGUACCGUCAACAGUUAAUGUAAUCAGGCGGUGGUAUCUCCAAUCCCUUGAAAUCCGGGGAUAUAACACUUUUUGUCUCCAAUUUUAAAGUCAUUGAGGCCUAUAAAUACCCCAUCCUUUUCUGCAUGAAAGGAUACAAAAGUGUUUAAUAUAUUCUUGAAUCUCUGGGGUGUUAAGUGUUGUAAAAGUGAGAAAGAGUCCUCCCCUCCAUCUCUUAGCUUUGUAAACAUCCAAGAAAGAAGAGUGAGGCUUGUAAGGGUUAUCUCCUAAACUCGACAAAAGGAAAAAAGAGCUAUAAAUGGUGGUUGGUCUUCGCCUAUUGAAAAUGCUAUUAAUAGACGCCGGUGACCUUGACGGAUGAGGAAUCGGAAGUGGACAUAGGUCACAACGACCGAACCACUCUAAAUUCUAGUUUGUUAAUUUAUUUGUGCAAUUUACAUUACUGCAAACUUCCUUAACCUUCUCUUUGCACUCUUACGAAAGCUUUCAAAUUUAAUAUCUUUCUGAAACAGAUUGAAUCGAAACGAAUAUUUUUCGGAAUCAAUGAUUUCUUUCGCUGCACUAAUUCCCCCCCCCCUAGACAUUUUGACUUGUCACCACCUGAAUAAACUGUCUAUAUCUUUUUGUUGAUGACAUUUUUGUUGAUGACAAAGGGGGAGAAGUCGAUGAAAUCUCUUCUAUUGUGUUUACUUUGAUGUUAUAAUCUUAUGUUGCUAACCUUGAUAUUGAAAUUUUGUGCUGAAAAUUUCUAUGUUAUUGUGAUCUCUUCAAUGCUGAAAAUUUAUGUGAUGUUAUGAUUUCUUUACCUUACAAAUGAUGCAAUAUCAUAUUCUUAAUAUUGUGAACUUUUGAAUGCCACAAUACAAUAAUUAUGAUAUUUCAUGCAAGUAGUGAUGAAAGGCUAUGCCGAAACAUUUUAUCAUGCAUGAAGUGAUUGUAUAUUUAAUAUCUUGUUGACUUGAUAUUACGGUGAUGCACAAUGCAUGUGAUUUCUAAUUUCGAUCAAAACUUGAAUUCAAGGAUUCAAGUUUGUAUGGCAUAUAGAUAGGAGAGUUACACAUUCACCAAUUGGUUAUCAUCAUAAAAAAAGGGAAGAUUGUUGAAUCUCGGAUUUUGAUGAUAAAAUCAAUUGGUAAAUUGUUUGACCUAAUCUAUGUGUUGAGAUAAGUGUACAGGAUUAGCUACGAUAGCAAUAAGGCAUAAAGCUGAUGAUGGGUCGGAGUCGAAGAUUCGGACGAUGUACCGGGAGCUUGCCGAGAGCUCAUCUAAAGAUCGUCGAGAGUUCAUCAGAAGAUCGUCGAGAGUUCGUAUGAAGAUCACCAAGAUUUCGUCGGGAGUUCGCCGAAAGCAUGCCGGAAGACUCGCCGAGAAGUUCAUUGGACGAUCGCCGAGAGAAAAAUCGACAUAAUGGACUAAUUGCUUGCCUUAAUCGUAGUUAGAAUAUUAAUUGAGUUAGGAUUGGGAGGCGAUCCCACUAACUUAGUUAGGGGCCAACUAGGCUCUUAACAGGGCUGAAUUGGGCUGGAUUAGACAGCCCAUUCCGUACUUGAAACCACGGCCGACGAUGGCAUCGCUUGGUGACCCAGUCUCCCAAGUGGUCUGGGCGGUGGUACCAUCAACAGUUAAUGUAGUCAGGCGGUGGUACCGCCAAUACCUCGAAAUCCAGGGAUGUGAUACUUUUUGUCUCCAAUUUUAAAGUAAGGGUCUAUAAAUACCCUACCCUUUUCUGCAUGAAAGGGCACAAAAGUAUUUAACAUAUUCUUGAAUCUCUAUGGUGUUAAGUGUUGUAAAAGUGAGAAAGAGUCCUCCCCUCCCUCUCUUAGCUUUGUAAACAUCCGAGAAAGAGGAGUGAGGCUUGUAAGGGUUAUCUCCUAAACUCGGUAAAAGAAAAAAGAGCUAUAAAAGGUAGUUGAACACCGAUAACCUCGACGGAUGAGGAAUCGGAAGUGGACGUAGGUCACAACGACCGAACCACUCUAAAUUCUAGUUUAUUUUUCUAUUUGUGCAAUUUACAUUACUGCAAACUUCCUUAACCUUCUUUUUGCACUCCUACAAAAGCUUUUAAGUUCAAUAUCUUUCUGAAACGGAUUGAAUCGAAACGAAUAUUUUUCGGAAUCAAUGAUUUCUUUCGCUGCACUAAUUCNNNNNNNNNNNNNNNNNNNNUUACUGCAAACUUCCUUAACCUUCUUUUUGCACUCCUACAAAAGCUUUUAAGUUCAAUAUCUUCUGAAACGGAUUGAAUCGAAACGAAUAUUUUUCGGAAUCAAUGAUUCUUUCGCUGCACUAAUUCCCCCCCCCCCCCCCCCUCUCCCCCUAGACAUUUUGACUUAUCACCACCUGAAUAAACUGUCUAUGUCUUUUUGCUGAUGACAAAGGGGGAGAAGUAGACGAAAUCUCUUCAAUUGUGUUUACUUUGAUGUUAUAAUCUUAUGUUGCUUACCUUGAUAUUGAAAUUUUAUGCUGAAAAUUUCUAUGUUAUUGUGAUCUUUUCAAUGCUGAAAAUUUCUGUGAUGUUAUGAUUUCUUUACCAUAAAAAUGAUGCAAUAUCAUAUUAUUAAUAUUGUGAACUUUUGAAUGUCAUAAUACAAUAAUGAUGAUAUUUCAUGCAAGUAGUGAUGAAAGGCUAUGCCGAAACAUUUUAUCAUGCAUGAAGUGAUUGUGAAUUUAAUAUCUUGAUGACUUGAUAUUAUGGUGAUGCACAAUGCAUGUGAUUUCUAAUUUCGAUCAAAGCUUGAAUUAAAGGUUGUGAAUUUAAAUUUGUAUGGCAUAUAGAUAUUGGGAGUUAAGAGUAACACCUUCACCACAAUUGGUUAUCAUCAUAAAAGAAGGGGAGAUUGUUGAAUCUCAAAUUUUGAUGAUGAAAUCAAUUGGUAAAUUGUUUGAUCUAAUCUAUGUGUUGAGAUAAGUGUGCAGGAUUAACUACGAUAGCAGUAAGGCAUAAAGCUGAUGAUGGGCCAGAGUCGAAGAUUCGGAUGAUGUACCAAUUGAUUUACCGGAGAGCUCAUCUGAAGAUCACCGAGAGUUCGUCGGAAGAUCGUCGAGAGUUCGUCGGAAGAUCGCCAAGAGUUCAUCGGGAGUUCGCCGGAAGCAUGUCGGAAGACUCGCCGAGAAGUUCGUUGGAGGAUCGCCGAGAGAAAAAUCGACAUAACGGACUAAUUGCUUGCCUUAAUCAUAGUUAGAAUAUUAAUUGAGUUAGGAUUGGGAGGUGAUCCCACUAACUC
rnacentral:lncRNA from 1 species